rnacentral:tmRNA from 1 species
GGGGUUGACUGGAUUUGACAGCGGGUAGAAAUGGUACGUAAGCAUGCGGAGUGACGGCUGUAUACUCCAUAAUCCAUUCGGUCGAAAAUUUAAUUGGCAACAAUCAGUAUGCUCUCGCUGCUUAAUCGAAGCACAGUAGAUUGAAAGCUUAAUUCCUCUGCCAGGCGGAGGAACGAGACGUCGCUCAAGGGAUGUUGUUCCGAAUCUUCUUGGUUCAGCGGCGCAGGAAAAUCGGGAAUAGUCUGUUGGAAGUCCCGGCCAGCGGAUGAAAUAAAGGGACUAAGGUGAUGGAUGGGUGGUCCAGGUCUUGCCAUCGCACGAAAAUGAAGUCUGGAAUAAGCAUGUAGAAAGCGUAUGGUUUCCCUGUUUGGACGAGGGUUCGACUCCCUCCAGCUCCAC